rnacentral:rRNA from 1 species
UACGAAGGGGGCUAGCGUUGUUCGGAAUUACUGGGCGUAAAGCGCACGUAGGCGGAUAUUUAAGUCAGGGGUGAAAUCCCAGAGCUCAACUCUGGAACUGCCUUUGAUACUGGGUAUCUGGAGUAUGGAAGAGGUGAGUGGAAUUCCGAGUGUAGAGGUGAAAUUCGUAGAUAUUGGGAAGAACACCGGUGGCGAAGGCGGCUCACUGGCUCAUUACUGACGCUCAGGCGCGACAGCGUGGGGAGUCAAACAGG